AUUGAACGCUGGCGGCAGGCUUAACACAUGCAAGUCGAGCGGGGGAAGGUAGCUUGCUACUGGACCUAGCGGCGGACGGGUGAGUAAUGCUUAGGAAUCUGCCUAUUAGUGGGGGACAACAUCUCGAAAGGGAUGCUAAUACCGCAUACGUCCUACGGGAGAAAGCAGGGGAUCUUCGGACCUUGCGCUAAUAGAUGAGCCUAAGUCGGAUUAGCUAGUUGGUGGGGUAAAGGCCUACCAAGGCGACGAUCUGUAGCGGGUCUGAGAGGAUGAUCCGCCACACUGGGACUGAGACACGGCCCAGACUCCUACGGGAGGCAGCAGUGGGGAAUAUUGGACAAUGGGGGGAACCCUGAUCCAGCCAUGCCGCGUGUGUGAAGAAGGCCUUAUGGUUGUAAAGCACUUUAAGCGAGGAGGAGGCUACUUUAGUUAAUACCUAGAGAUAGUGGACGUUACU
rnacentral:rRNA from 1 species